rnacentral:sRNA from 1 species
CUCACUUCUGGUCGAUAAUAGAAUAUAAA